UGCUCUUCCUAUGCUGUAUGUGCUUGGCUGAGGAGCCAAUGGGGCAAAGCUACCAUCUGUGGGAUUAUGACUGAACGCCUCUAAGU